UGUUUACGUGAUUUUAACCAAAACACAGGGCAGUGGGUGCUAGAGCAGCAGCAGAGAAGUACAUAACAAGAUGAAAAGGACAUUCAAGGUCAUCUAUAGCCCACGUGCCUGCUUUACCAGUGAGAAAACAGAGGUCCAAUUCAGGGAGGAAAAAAAAUUCUACUGGACAACACUGUUCUAAAUUGCGAAUGCUUCAAAGGCAGAGAGACAGGCUCUUGCUCUGUUGUCCAGGCAGGUGUGCAGUGGCACAUUCAAGGACUACAGCCUCCAAUUCCUGGGCUCAAGUGAUCCUCCUUCUUUGGCCUCCCAACGUGCUAGGAUUACAGACAUGAGCCAAUGUA
rnacentral:lncRNA from 13 species